GAUGAACGCUGGCGGCGUGCCUAAUACAUGCAAGUCGAGCGAAUGGAUUAAGAGCUUGCUCUUAUGAAGUUAGCGGCGGACGGGUGAGUAACACGUGGGUAACCUGCCCAUAAGACUGGGAUAACUCCGGGAAACCGGGCCUAAUACCGGAUAACAUUUUGAACCGCAUGGUUCGAACUUGAAAGGCGGCUUCGGCUGUCACUUAUGGAUGGACCCGCGUCGCAUUAGCUAGUUGGUGAGGUAACGGCUCACCAAGGCAACGAUGCGUAGCCGACCUGAGAGGGUGAUCGGCCACACUGGGACUGAGACACGGCCCAGACUCCUACGGGAGGCAGCAGUAGGGAAUCUUCCGCAAUGGACGAAAGUCUGACGGAGCAACGCCGCGUGAGUGAUGAAGGCUUUCGGGUCGUAAAACUCUGUUGUUAGGGAAGAACAAGUGCUAGUUGAAUAAGCUGGCAACUUGACGGUACCUAACCAGAAAGCCACGGCUAACUACGUGCCAGCAGCCGCAGUAA
rnacentral:rRNA from 1 species